AUUGGAUACAUAUUUCAGAUUGUUUCUAUAGCUAAGCCAUGCGAAUCUGCCAUGGAAUUACUUUGAAUUGUCGAUUCAUGUUUUCCUUUUUUCUUCUACCUCUUAAUUGUAUUGUUUGAGCCUUUCUUUCAAAUUAUCUAUUUCUCAUCUUCCGACAUAAAUAUAUAAUAUGUAAACGAAGAAACUCGUAUUUACACAACAUACUCGCAUCACUCGAUAAUUUGUCCUUCGCGUGAACUCGUCGUUACAAUAUUUACUCACCAAAAUAAAGACAUUAUUUUCGCACUAUCGUUUGAUCGACAUUCUGCGUUCGACAGCUCAUCAUGCGCGUCGCGUGGUAAUCGCGUCGCGCCGAUCCAGGAUCGAGAACGUUCAACGAAGGAUCAUUCCAACGUAGAAAUUGUUAUAUCGAUGAACUGAGUUUUGACGCUUAAAGCUUUGUAGGUUCCCACGAAACUCAGGAUUUCUAUAAAUAUCGGCGCCUUGAAUACCGCCCGCCAUAACGUCUACUCUCUAGCGCUAUCUGUAUUACUCGCUACCCGAGAUAAUUGACUAACCUCAAACGCGGGAGAUUCAAAAAUACUUGAAGUUUAUAGAAUUUAAGCAAAUACCCGGAAAUGAAGUAAAUUUUACAAUUGUUAACCAUAUUACAAAAUAUGCGUUUAUAAGUAAAUUCAAGCAUGGAUAUCAAUAGGUAAGUAGUAAAUUUUAUUACUCGUUGUGAAAUUAUUUGAGAAUUGUCGUUCAUAAUCGAAGAGGACAGCAAUGCGUUCUUCGUUUGUCUCCAUGCAGAGACAAGUUAAAAGUUACAAAAGCCAAAAACUUAAAACUUUUUCUUUUAGUGUUAAUACUGCUCCUUUUGCUUGUUUCGCUAAUAGCACUUCUUUUAAAACAUAGAAUAUAUGAAAGAUACACACGAAUCUGUCUUUUACCGCCCGAUUAAGAUUUUAUUUACAUUUAAGAUAAAAUAGGUACUAUAACUGUAAUAAGAAUACAUUACUAUCCGUACAAUCUUUCAAUGAAUUAUCUUACGAUCACACUCGUAUGUUACAUAAUAGAGUAUAAUUAUUAAUUAUACAUCUUAU